rnacentral:rRNA from 1 species
GAUGAACGCUAGCUACAGGCUUAACACAUGCAAGUCGAGGGGUAACGAGAGGAAAGCUUGCUUUCCUUGUUGACGACCGGCGCACGGGUGAGUAACGCGUAUCCAACCUGCCCCCAACUAGGGAAUAACCUUGCGAAAGUAAGACUAAUACCCUAUAAUUUCCUCAGAUGUCAUCUGACGAUGAAUAAAGAUUUAUCGGUUGUGGAUGGGGAUGCGUCUGAUUAGCUUGUUGGCGGGGUAACGGCCCACCAAGGCAACGAUCAGUAGGGGUUCUGAGAGGAAGGUCCCCCACAUUGGAACUGAGACACGGUCCAAACUCCUACGGGAGGCAGCAGUGAGGAAUAUUGGUCAAUGGGCGGAAGCCUGAACCAGCCAAGUAGCGUGCAGGAUGACGGCCUUAUGGGUUGUAAACUGCUUUUAUACAGGAAUAAAGUUAGCCACGUGUGGUUAUUUGUAGGUACUGUAUGAAUAAGGACCGGCUAAUUCCGUGCCAGCAGCCGCCGUAA